ensembl:lncRNA
AGGAGGUGGACUGGUGGAGGCAGAACAGGGGGAGGGAUGGCGGGCCAGGCCCGUGUAGGGGAACUGGGACCGGCAGCGAUGGCUCCCCUGGUAGCCCAGGUGGCUCGGUCAGAUCAGGGGGCCAUGGUGGACCCGAAAGUUCAGGGGACCACGAGGGACCAGGCAGUUCAGGUGGCCACGGUGGAUCAGUCCAUUCUCGUUGUGCAGACGGCCAGGGAGGAAUUCGCCAUUUGAGUGGCCCAAACGGAACCUGCCAAUCGGGGAGCCAGUAAGGAGCAGGCUGUGGCGAUGGCCAGGUCACGGCAUUGGGAACGGCAUCGGGAACGGCCUCAGCCAAGGGCACCGCCUCGGGAACGGCCUUGGACACGGGUAUCGCCUCCGGAACCAUCUCGGGCCCCGCAUCGGCCUCCGGAACAGCAUCGGGAAUGGCCUCAGGAACGGCAUCGGACAAGGACACCGCCUCGGGAACGACCUCGGCAUCGGGCACCGCCUCGGGAACGGUGGCUCAGGAACGGCCUCAGGAACGGCAUUGGACAAGGACACCGCCUCGGGAACGGCCUCGGCCUGCGCAUCGGGCACCGCCUCGGUCUCUGGAACCAACUCGGGCACCGCAUCGGCCUCCGGAACCAACUCGGGCACCGCCUCGGCCUCCGGAACAGCAUCGGGCACCGCUUCGGCAUCGGGCACAGCCUCGGCAUCGGGCACAGCCUCGGGCACCGCCUCGACCUGCGGAACAGCAUCGGUCACCGCCUCGGCAUCGGGCACAGCCUCGGCAUCGGAAACAACAUCGGGCACUGCCUCGACCUCCGGAACAGCCUCGGUCUCGGGCAUUACAUCGGGAACCGUCUCUGGCACCGCAUCGGGCACCGCC